AUAACGUUGAAGAAACACCAGUUCCCAUACGAUCACUGAAGAUAAGCCAUGUCGAACCUGCUUAGUACCUAGAUAAGUGACCGCUUGGAAAUAACAGGUACAGU